GAUGAAUGCUGGCGGCGUGCCUAACACAUGCAAGUCGAGCGGCAGCGCGGUCUUCGGACUGGCGGCGAGCGGCGGACGGCUGAGUAACGCGUGGGAACAUACCCCAAAGUGAGGAAUGACUGCCCGAAAGGGUGGCUAAUGCCGCAUAUGGUCUUCGGAUUAAAGGAUUUAUCCGCUUUGGGAAUGGCCUGCGUAAGAUUAGAUAGUUGGUGAGGUAAUGGCUCACCAAGUCGACGAUCUUUAACUGGUCUUAGAGGAUGAUCAGUCAGACUGGAACUGAGACACGGUCCAGACUCCUACGGGAGGCAGCAGUGAGGAAUCUUCCACAAUGGGCGAAAGCCUGAUGGAGCAACGCCGCGUGCAGGAUGAAGGCCUUCGGGUCGUAAACUGCUUUUAUAAGUGAAGAAUAUGACGGUAACUUAUGAAUAAGCACCGGCUAACUACGUGCCAGCAGCCGCAGUAA
rnacentral:rRNA from 1 species